CUAGUUUCCAAGCUACCUCUUCCCAAAAGUUCAAGUCCUUCAAGGUUCUGGUUUAUAUCUUCAGAGCACUAGCACCCAAAAGCCAAGAAAAACUUCUCCUGCCUGCUUCAGAGUAGUAAGGAGCCUAACACAUCCCCAGUGUCCCAGAGAAGGUUGUGACAGUCCUUUACCAGUACCUGCUGACCUGAAGGUUAACCGUGAGUUAACAGCUGCAGAGCUCUCCACUAUUGUGUAUGCUGAAACAAUAGACUUUAAUUUAGAAGAGGAGAACCACAAGGAUGGAUCGCCAGCAAGUCUCAGCCUGAAGAAGACCAGUUUUACUGGUGAAAGCAAGGAUAGCUGCAUCAUCAUUUGACAGAAAAAUGUCAAAUCUCAAAAAAAAAAAAAAAGUAAUUAAACCAAAGCAAUAAGAUUACUGAUGCUUUUAUUGAAAUGAAAGUAGAACACACAAAUAAAUUUACACUGGUAGUACUGACCA
rnacentral:lncRNA from 1 species